GUGGGGCAAGCCUGAUUUUUAUUUAAAAUUUUCAAAAGCUUUAUACUUUAAUUGAUCACAUGUUAGUUCAACAAAAUACGAUGAGCUUCCCAAAAUCUAACCCCUUUCUGCAUACUUUCUUUACCUCUGACAAGGUUAUAUGGCCACCUCACCUCACUUCACCUCCCGUGCACCUGGGGGAAUCCACUCAGUAGUGCCCUGGUUUUGGAAUCAGAUUAGCGCAAAUAUGCUGCUGUGGCAACUGUGGAAUGAACAGGCCAAUACUGAAAAUCUCCUCAAGAAAGGGCCAUAGGUGAUUUGGGGAACCUGGAAACUCUGCCUGUGCUUGUUAACAACAAAUACCGCCUUCUGAGGGAUAUAAGGCUUCUAAAUC